rnacentral:rRNA from 1 species
GACGAACCGUGCGAACGUUGUUCGGAAUUACUGGGCGUAAAGGGCUCGUAGGCGGCCAACUAAGUCAGACGUGAAAUCCCUCGGCUUAACCGGGGAACUGCGUCUGAUACUGGAUGGCUUGAGUUUGGGAGAGGGAUGCGGAAUUCCAGGUGUAGCGGUGAAAUGCGUAGAUAUCUGGAGGAACACCGGUGGCGAAGGCGGCAUCCUGGACCAACACUGACGCUGAGGAGCGAAAGCCAGGGGAGCAAACGGG